UCGGGGAUCGUCUAACGGCAGGACAGCUGUUUUUGGUGCAGCUCAUCUAGGUUCGAAUCCUAGUCCCCGAA
rnacentral:tRNA from 1 species